AGAGUUUGAUCCUGGCUCAGGAUGAACGCUAGCGGCAGGCUUAAUACAUGCAAGUCGAGGGGUAGCAUGAUUGUAGCAAUACAAUUGAUGACGACCGGCAAACGGGUGCGGAACACGUACACAACCUUCCUACAAGUGGGGAAUAGCCCAGAGAAAUUUGGAUUAAUACCCCGUAACAUAGCGAUGUGGCAUCACAUUGCUAUUAUAGCUUCGGCGCUUGUUGAUGGGUGUGCGGCUGAUUAGAUAGUUGGCGGGGUAACGGCCCACCAAGUCUACGAUCAGUAGCUGAUGUGAGAGCAUGAUCAGCCACACGGGCACUGAGACACGGGCCCGACUCCUACGGGAGGCAGCAGUAAGGAAUAUUGGACAAUGGACGCAAGUCUGAUCCAGCCAUGCCGCGUGAAGGAUUAAGGUCCUCUGGAUUGUAAACUUCUUUUAUAAGGGACGAAAAAAGGUCUUUCUAGAUCGUCUGACGGUACCUUAUGAAUAAGCACCGGCUAACUCCGUGCCAGCAGCCGCGGUAAUACGGAGGGUGCAAGCGUUAUCCGGAUUCACUGGGUUUAAAGGGUGCGUAGGCGGGCAGGUAAGUCAGUGGUGAAAUCCUAGAGCUUAACUCUAGAACUGCCAUUGAUACUAUCUGUCUUGAAUAUUGUGGAGGUAAGCGGAAUAUGUCAUGUAGCGGUGAAAUGCUUAGAUAUGACAUAGAACACCUAUUGCGAAGGCAGCUUACUACGCAUAUAUUGACGCUGAGGCACGAAAGCGUGGGGAUCAAACAGGAUUAGAUACCCUGGUAGUCCACGCCCUAAACGAUGGAUACUCGACAUACGCGAUACACUGUGUGUGUCUGAGCGAAAGCAUUAAGUAUCCCACCUGGGAAGUACGACCGCAAGGUUGAAACUCAAAGGAAUUGACGGG
rnacentral:rRNA from 1 species